CCUACGGGGGGCAGCAGUGAGGAAUAUUGGUCAAUGGGCGCGAGCCUGAACCAGCCAAGUAGCGUGAAGGAUGACUGCCCUACGGGUUGUAAACUUCUGUUAUAAAGGAAUAAAGUGAGGCACGUGUGCCUUUUUGUAUGUACUUUAUGAAUAAGGAUCGGCUAACUCCGUGCCAGCAGCCGCGGUAAUACGGAGGAUCCGAGCGUUAUCCGGAUUUAUUGGGGUGAAAGGGAGCGUAGAUGGGUUGUUAAGUCAGUUGUGAACGUUUGCGGCUCAACCGUAAAAUUGCAAUUGAUACGGGCAGUCUUUAGUACAGUUGAGGUAGGCGGACUUCGUGUUGUAGCGG
rnacentral:rRNA from 1 species